rnacentral:rRNA from 1 species
UGCGUAGACGGUUUCGUAAGUCGGGUGUGAAAUCCCCGGGCUCAACCUGGGAAUUGCAUUCGAAACUGCGAGGCUAGGGUACGGAAGAGGGAAGCGGAAUUUCUGGUGUAGCGGUGAAAUGCGUAGAUAUCAGAAGGAACAUCAGUGGCGAAAGCGGCUUCCUGGUCCAGUACCGACGUUCAGGCACGAAAGCGUGGGGAGCAAACAGGAUUAGAUACCUUGGUAGUCCACGCCUUAAACGAUGAGAACUAGACGUUGAGAGGGUUAGCCUCCCAGUGUCGCAGCUAACGCGCUAAGUUCUCCGCCUGGGGAGUACGGCCGCAAGGUUGAA